rnacentral:rRNA from 1 species
CCUGGUUGAUCUUGCCAGUAGUCAUAUGCUUGUCUCACAGAUUAAGCCAUGCAAGUGAAAGUACAUAUGUAAAUAAUAUAUUGAAACUGCGAACGGCUCAUUAAAACAGUUAUAAUCUACUUGAUGUUUUUAAUAUAAGGAUAACUACGGAAAAUCUGUAGCUAAUACUUGUGAAAAUACCUUUUGAUAUAUACAUAUGUAUGUAUCAUUAAGGUAUGUAUUUGUUAGAUAUAAGAAUAAAAUAAAUAUAAUUGAAUUAUAACAAAGAAGAAACACAUAAAAUAUGUGUAUUAUCAAUCGAGUAUCUGACCUAUCAGCUUUUGAUGUUAGGGUAUUGACCUAACAUGGCUAUGACGGGUAACGGGGAAUUAGAGUUCGAUUCCGGAGAGGGAGCCUGAGAAAUAGCUACCACAUCUAAGGAAGGCAGCAGGCGCGUAAAUUACCCAAUUCUAAAAAAGAGAGGUAGUGACAAGAAAUAACAAUACAAUAUCGAAAAAUGAUUUUGUAAUUGGAAUGAUAGGAAUUUACAAGGUUCCUAGAGAAACAAUUGGAGGGCAAGUCUGGUGCCAGCAGCCGCGGUAAUUCCAGCUCCAAUAGCAUAUAUUAAAAUUGUUGCAGUUAAAACGUUCGUAGUUGAAUAUUAAAGAAUCCGAUGUUUCAUUUAAACUGGUUUGGGAAAACCAAAUAUAUUAUAUAUUUUGCUUUGUUCAAAAUAAGGUUUUCUAAUAAAUUAUGUUUUUAUCAGAUAUGACAGAAUCUUUUUUAAAAUCUCUUCAAUAUGCUUUUAUUGCUUUUGAGAGGUUUUGUUACUUUGAGUAAAAUUAAGUGUUCAUAACAGACGGGUAGUCAUGAUUGAGUUCAUUGUGUUUGAAUACUACAGCAUGGAAUAACAAAUAUGAAUAAGCUAAUUAUUUUUUUUUUUCAUAAUUUUUUUUGAUAUUCUUAUUAGCUUAGUUACGAUUAAUAGGAGUAGCUUUGGGGGCAUUCGUAUUCAGAUGUCAGAGGUGAAAUUCUAAGAUUUUCUGGAGACGGACUACUGCGAAAGCAUUUGCCUAAUCUAUUUCCAUUAAUCAAGAACGAAAGUUAAGGGAGUGAAGACGAUCAGAUACCGUCGUAAUCUUAACCAUAAACUAUACCGACUAGGUGUUGGAUGAAUAUAAAAAAUAUAUAAAUAUGUAGCAUUUCUUAGGGAAUGUUGAUUUUAUAUUAGAAUUGCUUCCUUCAGUACCUUAUGAGAAAUCAAAGUCUUUGGGUUCUGGGGCGAGUAUUCGCGCAAGCGAGAAAGUUAAAAGAAUUGACGGAAGGGCACCACCAGGCGUGGAGCUUGCGGCUUAAUUUGACUCAACACGGGAAAACUCACUAGUUUAAGACAAGAGUAGGAUUGACAGAUUAAUAGCUCUUUCUUGAUUUCUUGGAUGGUGAUGCAUGGCCGUUUUUAGUUCGUGAAUAUGAUUUGUCUGGUUAAUUCCGAUAACGAACGAGAUCUUAACCUGCUAAUUAGCGGUAAGUACACUAUAUUUUUAUUUGAAAUUGAAUAUAGGUAAUUAUACAUGUUUAUUCAGUGUUCAAAUUAGGAUAUUUUUUUUAUUAAAAUAUUCUUUUCCCUGUUCUACUAUAAUAAUUUGUUUUUUUUUACUCUAUUUCUCUCUUCUUUUAAGAAUGUACUUGUUUGAUUAAAUAAAGCUUCUUAGAGGAACAGUGUGUAUCUAACACAAGGAAGUUUAAGGCAACAACAGGUCUGUGAUGUCCUUAGAUAAACUAGGCUGCACGCGUGCUACAAUGAUAUAUAUAACAAGUUGUUAAAAAUGUACUUAUAAAUAAGUGUGUACAGUUUUUCCUGUACUGAAAAGUAUAGGUAAUCUUUAUCAGUAUAUAUCGUAAUUGGGAUAGAUUAUUGCAAUUAUUAAUCUUGAACGAGGAAUGCCUAGUAAGCAUGAUUCAUUAGAUUGUGCUGACUACGUCCCUGCCCUUUGUACACACCGCCCGUCGCUCCUACCGAUUGAAAGAUAUGAUAAAUUGUUUGGAUAUGAAUUAAAAUAAUGAAAUUUUAUAUUUCUGAUUUUUUCUAGAAGAACUGUAAAUCCUAUCUUUUAAAGGAAGGAGAAGUCGUAACAAGGUUUCCGUAGGUGAACCUGCGGAAG